AUACGUAGGGGGCAAGCGUUAUCCGGAUUUACUGGGUGUAAAGGGUGCGCAGGCGGCCAUUUAAGUCAGCGGUUAAAUCGUGGGGCUCAACCCCAUUCUGCCGUUGAUACUGGGUGGCUUGAUUGCGGUCGAGGUUGGCGGAAUUCGUUGUGUAGCGGUGAAAUGCAUAGCUAUGACGAAGAACACCGAUUGCGUAGGCAGCUGACCAGACCGCAAAUGACGCUCAUGCUCGAAAGUGCGGGGAUCGAACAGGAUUAGAUACCCUGGUAGUCCGCACAGUAAACGAUGAAUACUUGUUUUCGGCGAUAUAAUGUCGGAGGCAAAGCGAAAGCGAUAAGUAUUCCACCUGGGGAGUACGCCGGCAACGGUGAAACUCAAAGGAAUCGACGGGG
rnacentral:rRNA from 1 species